rnacentral:rRNA from 1 species
UACGAAGGGUGCAAGCGUUACUCGGAAUUACUGGGCGUAAAGCGUGCGUAGGCGGUUUGUUAAGUCCGUUGUGAAAGCCCCGGGCUCAACCUGGGAAUGGCAGUGGAAACUAGGGGACUGGAAUCUGGCAGAGGGGGGUGGAAUGCCGCGUGUAGCAGUGAAAUGCGUAGAGAUGCGGCGGAACACCGAUGGCGAAGGCAGCCCCCUGGGCUGAGAUUGACGCUCAGGCACGAAAGCGUGGGGAGCAAACAGG